rnacentral:tRNA from 1 species
GAAAAUUUAGUUAAAAUCAUAACAUUAAUUUGUCAAAUUAAAAUUAUUUAAAUAAAUAAUUUUCU